GACGAACGCUGGCGGCGUGCUUAACACAUGCAAGUCGAACGGUAAGGCCCUUCGGGGUACACGAGUGGCGAACGGGUGAGUAACACGUGGGUGAUCUGCCCUGCACUUCGGGAUAAGCCUGGGAAACUGGGUCUAAUACCGGAUAGGACCACUGCCUGCAUGGGUGGUGGUGGAAAGCUUUUGCGGUGUGGGAUGGGCCCGCGGCCUAUCAGCUUGUUGGUGGGGUGAUGGCCUACCAAGGCGGGGACGGGUAGCCGGCCUGAGAGGGUGACCGGCCACACUGGGACUGAGAUACGGCCCAGACUCCUACGGGAGGCAGCAGUGGGGAAUAUUGCACAAUGGGCGCAAGCCUGAUGCAGCGACGCCGCGUGAGGGAUGACGGCCUUCGGGUUGUAAACCUCUUUCAGCACCGACGAAGCGCAAGUGACGGUAGGUGCAGAAGAAGGACCGGCCAACUACGUGCCAGCAGCCGCCGUAA
rnacentral:rRNA from 1 species